ACUGAAAGCUUUACUGUAUAUGCAAA
rnacentral:piRNA from 1 species